rnacentral:lncRNA from 1 species
CCCAAACUUCCAAGGGUCAUCUGAUGACACGAUAAAUUUAAAAAUGCAUAGAAAUAAAGGAAAGAAAUAAAGAGUUUUAAGUGAAUUGAACUCUUUCAAUUCAAUCGCCAAAUAAUGUGGUGUCCCACACUUAUUUUGGUGUGGAGUUCCUUCCAAGAGAAGGACUCUACUUCCUCUUCCACAUCCCAUAUCCCAAGGCACCAUCUAAUGGUGCAC